CCUACGGGGGGCAGCAGUGGGGAAUAUUGCACAAUGGGGGGAACCCUGAUGCAGCAAUGCCGCGUGGGUGAAGAAGCACUCCGGUGCGUAAAGCCCUGUCAGCAGGGAAGAAAAUGACGGUACCUGACUAAGAAGCCCCGGCUAACUACGUGCCAGCAGCCGCGGUAAUACGUAGGGGGCAAGCGUUAUCCGGAUUUACUGGGUGUAAAGGGAGCGUAGACGGCGAUGCAAGUCUGAAGUGAAAGGCGGGGGCCCAACCCCCGGACUGCUUUGGAAACUGUAUGGCUGGAGUGCAGGAGAGGUAA
rnacentral:rRNA from 1 species